AGCCAUGCCGCGUGUGUGAAGAAGGCUUUCGGGUUGUAAAGCACUUUCAGCGAGGAAGAAGGCCUCUGGGUUAAUACCCCAGAGGAAGGACAUCACUCGCAGAAGAAGCACCGGCUAACUCCGUGCCAGCAGCCGCGGUAAUACGGAGGGUGCGAGCGUUAAUCGGAAUUACUGGGCGUAAAGCGCGCGUAGGUGGCUUGGCACGCCGGUUGUGAAAGCCCCGGGCUCAACCUGGGAACGGCAUCCGGAACGGCCAGGCUAGAGUGCAGGAGAGGAAGGUAGAAUUCCCGGUGUAGCGGUGAAAUGCGUAGAGAUCGGGAGGAAUACCAGUGGCGAAGGCGGCCUUCUGGCCUGACACUGACACUGAGGUGCGAAAGCGUGGGUAGCAAACAGGAUUAGAUACCCUGGUAGUCCACGCCGUAAACGAUGUCGACUAGCCGUUGGGACCUUUAAGGACUUAGUGGCGCAGUUAACGCGAUAAGUCGACCGCCUGGGGAGUACGGCCGCAAGGUUAAAACUCAAAUGAAUUGACGGGGGCCCGCACAAGCGGUGGAGCAUGUGGUUUAAUUCGAUGCAACGCGAAGAACCUUACCUACCCUUGACAUCCAGAGAACUUUCCAGAGAUGGAUUGGUGCCUUCGGGAACUCUGAGACAGGUGCUGCAUGGCUGUCGUCAGCUCGUGUUGUGAAAUGUUGGGUUAAGUCCCGUAACGAGCGCAACCCUUGUCCUUAUUUGCCAGCGAUUCGGUCGGGAACUCUAAGGAGACUGCCGGUGACAAACCGGAGGAAGG
rnacentral:rRNA from 1 species